rnacentral:lncRNA from 1 species
AUGGCGGCGGGACGACAUGGCGGCCUCGCGUUGGCAUCUUGUGUUCUUGGGGGUCCUCCAGGGGGGGUUGGGGUCCUCCAAGGUGGGUUGGGGGUCCUCCAGGAUGGGUUGGGGGUCCUCCAAGGUGGGUAACGGGCCUCAAACAUGGCGGCGGGACGACAUGGCGGCCUCGCGUUGGCGUCUUGUGUUCUUGGGGGGCUUCCAGGGGGCGUUGGGGUCCUCCAAGGUGGGUUGGGGGUCCUCCAGGGUGGGUUGAGGCCUCAAACAUGGCGGUGGGACAAGAUGGC